rnacentral:misc_RNA from 1 species
GUUGGUGAACCAGCGGAGGGAUCAUUACAGAGUUGCAAAACUCCCAACCAUUGUGAAUCUACCUCACCGUUGCUUCGGCGGGUGGCCCGGCUAUACACCCGGGCCGCGCCGGCCCCCCCUAGCGGGAGCCGGCAACCCGUCAGAAGACCCACAACUCUUAGUCAUCAUUGGCCUCUCUGAGUAACUUAUACAAUAAGUCAAAACUUUCAACAACGGAUCUCUUGGUUCUGGCAUCGAUGAAGAACGCAGC